rnacentral:rRNA from 1 species
ACCGCCCGUCACAUCACGAAAGCCAGUUGUACUAGAAGCCGGUAAUUCAACCGCAAGGAGAUGGCCGUCCAAGGUAUGACUGGUGAUUGGGGUG